GAAUUCGCCCUUAGAGUUUGAUCCUGGCUCAGGACGAACGCUGGCGGCGCGCCCAACACAUGCAAGUCGAACGGAGCUUAGAGAGCUUGCUUUUUAAGCUUAGUGGCGAACGGGUGAGUAACGCGUGAGUAACCUGCCCUAGAGUGGGGGACAACAGUUGGAAACGACUGCUAAUACCGCAUAAGCCCACGGUACCGCAUGGUACUGAGGGAAAAGGAUUUAUUCGCUUUAGGAUGGACUCGCGUCCAAUUAGCUAGUUGGUGAGGUAACGGCCCACCAAGGCGACGAUUGGUAGCCGGACUGAGAGGUUGAACGGCCACAUUGGGACUGAGACACGGCCCAGACUCCUACGGGAGGCAGCAGUGGGGGAUAUUGCACAAUGGGGGAAACCCUGAUGCAGCGACGCCGCGUGGAGGAAGAAGGUUUUCGGAUUGUAAACUCCUGUCGUUAGGGACGAUAAUGACGGUACCUAACAAGAAAGCACCGGCUAACUACGUGCCAGCAGCCGCGGUAAAACGUAGGGUGCAAGCGUUGUCCGGAAUUACUGGGUGUAAAGGGAGCGCAGGCGGGAAGACAAGUUGGAAGUGAAAACCAUGGGCUCAACCCAUGAAUUGCUUUCAAAACUGUUUUUCUUGAGUAGUGCAGAGGUAGAUGGAAUUCCCGGUGUAGCGGUGGAAUGCGUAGAUAUCGGGAGGAACACCAGUGGCGAAGGCGGUCUACUGGGCACCAACUGACGCUGAGGCUCGAAAGCAUGGGUAGCAAACAGGAUUAGAUACCCUGGUAGUCCAUGCCGUAAACGAUGAUUAC
rnacentral:rRNA from 1 species